GCCUUUGAAUCGUCGCGGCUUUCAUCCUAUAUUGGGCGUGCCGGUUCGCCGGCUAUGGCAAUAAACGGGCGGUACAAUAAGCCAUUCGGACCCGGGGGCGGUACCCGGCGCCUCCACCAGGAACGCUGCUGCAGCCGAUCGCAGCGCUGCUGAUGGGGGCGAAACAGGAUCGACGAGGGUGUAAAAACCGUACUUUUGCCCGGCAUGAUACCACCGUUAUCGGGUCAAAUUGUUAGUUGCAAACGACAACUACGCAGAGGCACGUCUCGCUGCCUAAUGGCGGUGCGACAGCUUCACCUGAACUCCUAGCCGGUUUGCUCGGCUAGGCGGGGUCCGGAGGCACCUGGCAACAGAAGCCUCCACU
rnacentral:tmRNA from 4 species